CCUACGGGCGGCAGCAGUGAGGAAUAUUGGUCAAUGGCCGGAAGGCUGAACCAGCCAAGCCGCGUGAAGGACGAAGGUGCCAAGCAUUGUAAACUUCUUUUGUCAAGGGACAAAAUCAGGCUCGAGAGCCUGACCGCGGGUACUUGAAGAAAAAGCAUCGGCUAACUCCGUGCCAGCAGCCGCGGUAAUACGGAGGAUGCGAGCGUUAUCCGGAUUUAUUGGGUGUAAAGGGUGCGUAGAUGGGUUGUUAAGUCAGUUGUGAAAGUUUGCGGCUCAACCGUAAGAUUGCAAUUGAUACUGGCAGCCUUGAGUGAAGUUGAGGUAGGCGGAAUUCGGGGUGUAGCGGUGAAAUGCUUAGAUAUCACGAAGAACACCGAUUGCGAAGGCAGCCAACUAAACUGUCACUGACAUUGAUGCUCGAAAGUGUGGGGAGCAAACAGGAUUAGAUACCCCAGUAGUC
rnacentral:rRNA from 1 species